rnacentral:rRNA from 1 species
AUUGAACGCUGGCGGUAUGCUUAACACAUGCAAGUCGAACGGUAACAGGCCUUCGGGCGCUGACGAGUGGCGGACGGGUGAGUAACGCGUAGGAAUCUGCCUUAUAGUGGGGGACAACGUGGGGAAACUCACGCUAAUACCGCAUACGCCCUGAGGGGGAAAGCGGGGGACCCUAAAUAGAGCGCACUGGGGAGUGCGUUGUAUUUAGGGCCUCGCGCAAUAGGAGCGGCCGAUGUCGGAUUAGCUAGUUGGUGAGGUAAAGGCUUACCAAGGCGACGAUCCGUAGCUGGUCUGAGAGGAUGAUCAGCCACACUGGGACUGAGACACGGCCCAGACUCCUACGGGAGGCAGCAGUGGGGAAUUUUGGACAAUGGGGGGCAACCCUGAUCCAGCCAUGCCGCGUGAGUGAAGAAGGCCUCGGUUGGUUAAAGGUAC